rnacentral:rRNA from 1 species
UACGUAGGGUGCGAGCGUUGUCCGGAAUUACUGGGCGUAAAGGGCUCGUAGGCGGUUUGUCGCGUCGGGAGUGAAAACCUCGGGCUUAACUCGGGGCUUGCUUUCGAUACGGGCAGACUGGAGGUAUGCAGGGGAGAACGGAAUUCCUGGUGUAGCGGUGAAAUGCGCAGAUAUCAGGAAGAACACCAAUGGCGAAAGCAGCUCUCUGGGACGGUACUGACGCUGAGACGCGAAAGCGUGGGGAGCGAACAGG